GUGGGCGCGCGCGGCCGCCCGCCACUCAACACCGAGCCGCCCCCGCAGCCGCUGCCGCCGCUACCCACGCGGCCCUCGCCUUUCAACCUGCAGGCACCGCCUGCGCCGCUAGACCCCUGGCCGCUCGACCCCUGGCCGCUGCCCGCCUUUCCCCCGCCGCUGCCACUGCCGCCCCCGCCUCCGCACUUUUUCCUGUACCCGCCGUGCUGAAGGCCCGGCCCUCCCCGCCCCGGAGGGGCUGCGGGCGGUAAAGGGUUUGGAUGUCAUCGCUAAGAUCUUUCUCUGCUGAAGUUUGUAUGGCUUCUUGGAAACUCAGAACCUGCCUUCCAAGUCUUAAGAAGUCAAACUUUCAGCUGAAAUAGAUCCUGGGGUCCCUUGGGCCUGGGCGCACGGGGAGAACAGCGGUGUUGAUGGACAGUCGAUACUGGGCCUUGGAACAAGAGUGUCACAUGCAAGGGCUCUGAAGUCAUCCCCAAAGGACAGGAAAGCUCCCAGGGUGAGUCAUGAGAGGAAGCCCCUGUUCUCUCCUCAUCCUUACUACCUCCCUUCACCACCCCCACCCCCCUUUCUCCCCAGCAUGUACAACGCAGAAUAAAGUUCCCUUUGUUACUCAGGUGGCUUGGGCUCAAGUAACCAGGCAGACGUCCUAUCUCAGUGGGCUCUUCUACAGCAGCUCAGGAGUGGUAUCAGGAAGCCAAAUUGACCUUGGGAGACCUCUGAGAGCCUGGGACCUGCCAGCAAGAAAGGCAGUGUAUGAGUUUCCUGAGACUGCUGUAGCAAAUCACCACAAACUGGGUGGCUUAAAACAGAAAUUUAGUCUCUCUUGGUUCUAGAAGCUGCAAGUCCAAAAUCAAGGUGUCCCAGGGCCAUACUCCCUCCCAAGGCUCUAGGGGAGGAUCCUUCCUUGACUCUUGCAGCUUCUGGUGGCUCCAGGUGUUCUUUGUUUAUGGCUGCAUCACUCCAAUCUUUGCCUCCAUCUUCAUAUGACCUUCUCCCUUGUAGCUGUGUCUCACAUCUCCCUCUUGUUUUUCUCUUAUGACACCUGUCAUUGGAUAUAGGGCCCACCCUAAGUCCAGAAUGCUCUCAUCUUGAGAUCCUUAAGUACACCUGCAAAGACCCUUUUUUCAAAUAAGGCCAUGCUGACACGUUCCUGGGCUUGGGACUGGACAUAGUGUUGGGGGCCACCAUCCAAUCCAUACAGGCAGUGUGCUCUCCCUUGUGGGGCUGGCCCACCUGCCACGCUGUCUUUCAGCUUCCCUAAAGCCUGUGUUAGGCCCUACCCCUUGCUGAACCUGAGCCUUGGGUGCCCUUGGAGUACUCACGCAGGAUCCAAAGGCGCUAGUGCCUUGAUAAAACUCUCACUGGCACAGGAAAAAAAGUAGACCGACUUUCCCCUUCGCUGAAUUGUGGCCGAGUUCGCAUUCCUGCCAGCUUGCUGCUUCCUCUAUGCUCUUUAUGUCCUGUAGCCCUCCCCACUCUGAGCUGAGAAUCAGACAGUAAACAGGAAGGACAAGACUGAAUGUGGGCUCCUAAAGAAGACAGCACUCUUAGAGCUUCAGAUGGCUAACUGCUGCUGGUUGUAAGCUGACAAUUACGACUGAUAAUAAAGUUGUUACCCAGUCAA